AAAGAGGUCAGUGCCCCUGACUAAAUAGUCAGAUGUUGUAUGUUGUAAACAUUCUUGAGCACACUGGUUGAAAAAUCGCUUGCUAUCACUUAGUAUCUCAAGCUAGGUACUGUGUGUGUGUGUGUGUGUGUGUGUGUAUGGCUGAUGAAACAGGCUCAUCCCCAUUCUGGUCAUUUAAAAAA